AUUGAACGCUGGCGGCAGGCCUAACACAUGCAAGUCGAACGAGCGGCGGACGGGUGAGUAAUGUAUGGGAAUCUGCCCGAUAGAGGGGGAUAACUACGGGAAACGGUGGCUAAUACCGCAUACUAUAGGAUGAACCCAUGUGGGAUUAGCUAGUAGGUGGGGUAAAGGCUCACCAAGCCGACGAUCUCUAGCUGGUCUGAGAGGAUGACACGCCACACUGGGAGUGAGACACGGCCCAGACUCCUCUGGGAGGCAGCAGGGGGGAAGAUUGCACAAUGGGCGCAAGCCUGAUGCAGCCAUGCCGCGUGUAUGAAGAAGGCCUUAGGGUUGUAAAGUACUUUCAGCGGGGAGGCGUUACCCGCAGAAGAAGCACCGGCUAACUCCGUGCCAGCCGCCGCGGUAAUUC
rnacentral:rRNA from 1 species